rnacentral:misc_RNA from 1 species
AGACAAACUGUGGAGCAUUAAAGUCAAAAGGUUUUACUUGCUCAAGUUUGGGAGAAAUUAUGAUGAUAUUUGUUCCUGAAUAAUCUGUCAAAGUUUUUAUUUUUUAUUUUUAUAUUGAUCUUUUAUCUCAAUCAUAUGGAAUUUCAAAAAGUGCAGUCAGUCUCUCAGGAUUCUGCAAUUUGAUAUUCUGAAAUUUUAAGAGAUAAAUGGGCGUUUGAAGAUUUUCUAAGGAUGGCCAAUUUCAAUAUUAUUUUUAUAAUACAUUACUUAAUGGUAAUAUAGUUAUAUCCUUGUGGCAAGAUUGAUUUUUCUUUCACUUUUUCUCAGAUACUUUAAGGGACCUGAGCUUCUA